rnacentral:tRNA from 1 species
CAAAAUGUAGCUUAAAUAAAAGCAUCUCGCUUACNCCGAGAAAAUGCCCGUGAAGCCCGGGUCAUUUUGA